GACGAACGCUGGCGGCGUGCUUAACACAUGCAAGUCGAACGGAAAGGCCCUGCUUUUGUGGGGUGCUCGAGUGCCGAACGGGUGAGUAACACGUGAGUAACCUGCCCUUGACUUUGGGAUAACUUCAGGAAACUGGGGCUAAUACCGGAUAGGAGCUCCUGCUGCAUGGUGGGGGUUGGAAAUUUUCGGCGGUUGGGGAUGGACUCGCGGCUUAUCAGCUUGUUGGUGGGGUAGUGGCUUACCAAGGCUUUGACGGGUAGCCGGCCUGAGAGGGUGACCGGCCACAUUGGGACUGAGAUACGGCCCAGACUCCUACGGGAGGCAGCAGUGGGGAAUAUUGCACAAUGGGCGGAAGCCUGAUGCAGCAACGCCGCGUGCGGGAUGACGGCCUUCGGGUUGUAAACCGCUUUCGCCUGUGACGAAGCGUGAGUGACGGUAAUGGGUAAAGAAGCACCGGCUAACUACGUG
rnacentral:rRNA from 1 species